UGUCUUGGGCCAGGGCCGGGUCUGAUUACCAAAAAUACAUGUCAAAUUCACAAAUACUUUCUUUUUCUCCCAUUUCAACUCCACCUUCAACAGUUGAUUAUAAAAAUAUAAACUGUUUUUUUCUGCAUAAUUACGAAAGAAUGUGCAGAAAUUCCCAGAAAAGGGCUUCUUUCAAGAUUCAAGCAGCAAAGCUUCCUGCUGGAGUAUGUUUUCCUUUUGUAUUUGUCAUUUCCUUCCUCAUUUUAUAUUUUAAUGCUUCAGCCAGCUCUGUCUUUGAGAGGAAUGUAAAUCUUAGGAUUCUUAAGAUUGAAUUUUUCAUUUAUUUCUGUUAGUAAUUAAAACGUAAUUAUUUUUCAACGUUUAUAUGAAUUAAUUUAAUUUAAUUUUCAGAUGGAAUUGCCAAAACAACAACCAAAAUUCAAUGCCCCGUUUCUUGGAUUCACUAAAACGGCUGAAAUUUGGAACUCUAGAGCUUGUAUGUAGGGUUGGCAACGAUUCGAUUAUGG
rnacentral:lncRNA from 1 species